rnacentral:rRNA from 1 species
GAUGAACGCUGGCGGCGUGCCUAAUACAUGCAAGUCGAGCGAACAGACGAGGAGCUUGCUCCUCUGACGUUAGCGGCGGACGGGUGAGUAACACGUGGAUAACCUACCUAUAAGACUGGGAUAACUUCGGGAAACCGGAGCUAAUACCGGAUAACAUGUUGAACCGCAUGGUUCAGCAGUGAAAGACGGUUUUGCUGUCACUUAUAGAUGGAUCCGCGCCGCAUUAGCUAGUUGGUAAGGUAACGGCUUACCAAGGCAACGAUGCGUAGCCGACCUGAGAGGGUGAUCGGCCACACUGGAACUGAGACACGGUCCAGACUCCUACGGGAGGCAGCAGUAGGGAAUCUUCCGCAAUGGGCGAAAGCCUGACGGAGCAACGCCGCGUGAGUGAAGAAGGUCUUCGGAUCGUAAAACUCUGUUAUUAGGGAAGAACAAAUGUGUAAGUAACUAUGCACGUCUUGACGGUACCUAAUCAGAAAGCCACGGCUAACUACGUG